rnacentral:ncRNA from 1 species
GCAAAGCAUGGCGGGUGUUCAAGCCAUCAGUAAUCGAUACGUAGUAUCGAUGACUGGCAGCUUGUUCUGAGAUUAUACCGUUUAAACUUGAUCUGGACAAUUCCAGCGCGAAGGACUGUUGCUGCUUCAUGAUG